AUAACACCUGGGAGCUGCAGGAAGAGGCUGCUGAGGGGGCUAUGAAGAUAGUUGUAGCAGCCAACUCCACCUGUUUUAAGCCUGCUGCCCUGUCUGAAGCUGGACCGUGCUAAUGAAGUGAAGAGAGGAGCUGGCUCAGACAUGAAAAGUGAUCAUCCACUUCUAUGGGUGAACAUUAUUCCUACUCUGAGAACAGUCACCUGGCCUGUUGACCACACUCAGGACCUGAUCAAUCUGUGGUCAGAGCACACCAUCCUCCACAACUUCUCAUGGAGUGGCAGGAACAUUCACCUCACCCAGGAAAUUUCAGAGGCUGGAGCAGAUGGCAAUCAGUGGACUCAAGUCUAGUGCAAUGAAUGUAUCAAGCACCUGAGGCUCCUGAACUGGAGGGCAAAAGACUCAAACAGUCGCUCUGGAAGAGCAUCAGAGGGGUAGCCGUGUUAGUCUAGAUCUGUAAAAAGCAUUCACCCACAAAAGCUUAUGCUCCAAUACAUCUGUUAGUCUUAAAGGUGCUACAGGACCCUCUGUUGCUCUGGAAGAGAUCAUUGUAUGUGCCCCUUCCACAAGGAGGAAUCAGGAGCAGUUUGAGUUCCUCGGGGCAUGCUCAGUUCAGGCUCUUCAGCAGGAAGAGAUGCUGAUGAAUCUGUUCUUGGAGUAGGAGAAAUGCUUUAUGGAAUGGGAGCAUGUCCACAGGAACAGGGAGCAUUCCCUGAUGGAGAGGCUCAUGGAACUGGUGAUUGAAUGUAUUUGGGGUCCACCUGCUCAUCUGAGCCCAGCACCACUCUGUGAACUGGCACCACCACCACUUCCCACUCCUCCUCCGUCGGCUGCUGCCCAAGGUGCUGCUGAGGCAGAGGACCCAACCCUCUUGAGUGACUGGGACAAGCCUAGAGGAUUCCUGGGAUCACACCCUCCACUAGUAUUCAAAAUGACUACCCAUGAGGGGAACGAUGAGCCUAUGGGAAUCCCCAAACGGCCACCCACCAAACCCUGCAUAAGAGAUGUCCCCAGGGACAAUUCCCCUCCCCCCCCCCAGUUGCACUCCCCUUGUCAGGGGGAGGUGUAGACCAUAAGGAUAAUGUUUGCUUAUGCUAAUUGAAAAUGUGUUGAAAUGAAAGUAGGGAGCAGGCUUUUAGGUCUAAAGUGUAGGCUUUGUAUUAGAUAAAAUUAAGUUUGUUAUUAUAUGUGAAUAAGUUGUAUUAAUAGAAGUGACUUGAGGCAUAAAUUUGGGUCAUGUAGUAAAUAUGUUUUUGUUUUAACUGGUUUUAGCAAGUGCUGGAGGAGAAUUUUUGGAUGUUUUGGAACAUUGGUAACUGCAGAAUUUGCAUUGAUGCAAAUGAUUAUAAGAAUUAUGUUUGAUAUUAAUACCCAAUAAAAAGUAGAUGUUAUUUGAGUUUUGGGGUACAGAAGAUUAGGGAUCACUUAGGGAUCUGGGGAAAAAAUCAGUACUUGGUCCUGCUAGUGAAGGCAGGGGGCUGGACUCGAUGACCUUUCAGGGUCCC